ACAUAAUUGAAAACCUUGGAUCACUUUUUUCUGACUCUAGCUGCCAAAUGGCCAUCAUAUGCUUUUAAUCUUCGUUGCCAUACUGUCUAGAUUUGAAUUAAGCUACUGUUUUAUUCCCAAAGUUUGAUGCCUCUAUAUGUAUUGGGAAACACCACCACCACCACCAUUUAUUGUUGGCCAGGAGGUGCCACUUGAGAAUCUUACGUAAGAGGCAGAGAGCAUAAACACCAUUUGUGGGGAGAAAAUUAGUUGGCAAAAUUAGAAAAUGUUAAUUAUGGCACAGUAACAUUGGAAAAGGUUGUGUCUGUGUUUUUAAGUUUUUCUUUAUUCUGCUUUUUUGCUGCUAUAAGAGUUUUCUGAAAUUUAUAUUGUAAACUUUUCAUGCACUUUACUGUUUCUAGUAUCAAAAUGUGAUAUUUUUAAUAAACAAGAAAUUUUCCAUUAUGUGAUGAAAUUUAAAAAGAAAAUAACCUAUAUUUGUGUCUCACUAAUAUAUAAAGUACAAGUCAAAUUUAAAUUAUUUAAUUAGCUUUAAAUAUAUACAAAUUGUCUCCUCUUCCAAACCUGACCUCUUAGGCUGUUUUAUUAGUCUUAAAUGAUACAUUUCCUGUGGUCAUUUUAUACUAAUUUCUUCCAUAGUUUACUGAUCAGGCUAUAUAAAAGAAUAUUUCCCGAAGGGUAAUUUUAGUGGGAUGAGGGUGGUGGGGUGAUGUAAUAUCACGCAGGAUUGCAUCCAGAAGAGCUCUGUAAAGCCUAAACUCCCUUUAAAAAGUGCCUAGUGACAGAGGCGUUGUCAUCUAUUGUAAUUGGAAUGUCAUUGUAGUUCAGCAAAGUUUGAUGUAAAUAAAAUAUUCUUUUAAAAAUGUUAAAGUACCUGAAUAAACAAACAAAAGAAACCCUUGAUGACAGAUUUUCCUCAGUGUUCAGGUAUCCCUUCUUAUAUACCUCAAGCAUCCAACAUCUAGCCAUGAAGAUUGAUUACCUGACGCAUAGUACUGGAAAGUAGAAUAGCAUGAAAAACUUAACUGUGUGGACAUUACCUUUUUCUGUAAUCAGCUACUGUCUGUUUAGUUUUCUCCUGUUUCGGGUGGGCUUUCUUCUCUGGAGGUAUGUGCACUAACAGAACAUCCUUCUUUUUUUCAUAGAUGCAUGUUAACUAGCAAUGUGAGCAAUAUUUCCUACCAUACUUCACUCCCAAUAUUUUUGAGAUGUUUGUAUAAAAUGAAAUUUAAAGUUCACUUAUGAUUGUAUAUGAACCACAGAGGAGCCCAUUUAUUAAUACAAAUCUUUUUUAAUAGUUAAAUGUAGAGGGGGAAAAUAAAAAAAUGGGAAACAUUGU
rnacentral:lncRNA from 1 species